CUCGAGCUUUGCCACAUUCUCUCAUUUCAUCCAGAAAACCACUCUUGGCUGGGCGGUUUCCACGAGAAGGAAGUGGACACAGGUUCUGCCCGGGGAUCAAACUCUGGACCUUGUGCUUGCAAGGCAAGCAGUGGAACUACGAGUGAAUGGGAGUUCAGAUUGGGGCCAGUAGCCCCUGCUUGACUCUGCUCCCACUUACCCUGAACCCUGGCUGGGGCACAGACUGUCCUGGGAGCCUGUGAUCCCCUUUUUCGCUCAGCCACCUUCUACUUCCUGCCGCCAGGCCAUGAACAGUUUUUCAGGCCCCUUGAAGUGUUCUGCUUUGGAAUCACUAGACUCUGGACUGAAACCUCUACAAACUGUGAGCCAAAAUCAGCCGCUCUUCCUACCUUGUGGUUUCAAGGCAGGUGCUGGAACCACUGAGCUAAAUCCCCAGCAGUGACAUUUUCUUUUGGCGAGCCAACCAGCAGGUAAAAGAGACAUUGGCACUUCCAUUUUGUCAAAGGCUCCCAAGUCUCUAGAAACAUGGGUGCUUAUUGAUAAAAGCAAGGAAGAUCAGAAGCACUUUCUGCCUCUAGCAAGAAAUGGGAAGAGGUGUCACAGGGAACGUUCUGAGAUGUGUGGCACCCUUGGUGCUGCGUGCUGAGCUGUAUCCCUGGCCCUUAUUUCAUUUUUUAAAUUUUAAGACAGCAUCUCAAUAAGUCAGCCUGGGCUCGAAUUUGGGAUCCUCCUGCCUCAGCCUCUCAGACAUGGAAAUGUUUUAAUUCCUUUAUGAAACCAGAAAUGAAUACAAUAAUAAUAAAUAUAUCAUAAAAUCCAACUUGGAUUAUACUUCCUUUAUACUAAUGUGGUUAGAAAAUAUAAUUUUUAAUUUUUUUUAAUAGAACAAGAGACCCACGGAAACAAAAGUCCACCCUGGGCCCAGGAAAAUCUCAGUUCCCUGAGCCUACAGGAGGAUCUGGAGGCCCCUUCUCUGGGGACUUUGGGCUGACAGGAUCUAGGCGGCCGCUCCAGGGAGCCCCAGGAC
ensembl:lncRNA